GCAGCAAACAUGGCGACAACAACAAUAUCGUUCUAUUGUGCCGAACGAGAUACUGUUGUGGAUCUCGAACUUUCUCCUGCAGAUGAUGAACGUGCGUUAACAGAUACAGUUUUUGCUACAAAAUUAGUAACAAAAGCCUCCAAUCAACAAUCAGGACCAUCGACAUCGACUAAUGUUGAUAACGACCUUUCUUUAUCUAAUGAUGCUUUUAACAAUAAUUCUAGCAAUGAAGAAUGUCUUGAUACUGAGGAUACAGGUGAUCUCAACUCUGAAACUCACGAUAGUGAAGGUAUACUGGAAAAAUAAUAAAUUUUACAAUAAUCUUGAUGUUUACGUUAAAUGUGUGACGAUGUCAGUUACAGUAUCAGCUCAUGUAAAUAAUUUAAUGUACAUCUUGAAAGUCUAAAGAGAUCAAUAAAGAAUUCCAUGAGUAAAA